rnacentral:rRNA from 1 species
UGAGGAAUAUUGGACAAUGGAGGCAACUCUGAUCCAGCCAUGCCGCGUGUAGGAAGACUGCCCUAUGGGUUGUAAACUACUUUUAUACAGGAAGAAUAAGGCCUACGUGUAGGCUGAUGACGGUACUGUAAGAAUAAGCACCGGCUAACUCCGUGCCAGCAGCCGCGGUAAUACGGAGGGUGCAAGCGUUAUCCGGAAUCAUUGGGUUUAAAGGGUCCGUAGGCGGGUAAUUAAGUCAGAGGUGAAAGUUUGCGGCUCAACCGUAAAAUUGCCUUUGAUACUGGUUAUCUUGAAUUAUUGUGAAGUGGUUAGAAUAAGUAGUGUAGCGGUGAAAUGCUUAGAUAUUACUUAGAAUACCGAUUGCGAAGGCAGAUCACUAACAAUAUAUUGACGCUGAUGGACGAAAGCGUAGGUAGCGAACAGGAUUAGAUACCCCCGUAGUCC